AGAAUCAACGCUGGCGGCGUGCCUAACACAUGCAAGUCGCACGAGAAAGGGGAGCAAUCCCUGAGUAAAGUGGCGCACGGGUGAGUAACACGUGAAUUAUCUACCUCCGAGUGGGGAAUAACCAAAAAGAAAUUUUGGCUAAUACCGCAUAACACUUACGAGUCAAAGCAGCAAUGCGCUUGGAGAGGAGUUCGCGGCAGAUUAGCUAGUUGGCGGGGUAAUGGCCCACCAAGGCGAUGAUCUGUA
rnacentral:rRNA from 1 species